rnacentral:rRNA from 1 species
UACGUAGGGUGCAAGCGUUGUCCGGAAUUACUGGGCGUAAAGCGUGCGUAGGUGGUUCGUUAAGUCUGAUGUGAAAGCCCUGGGCUCAACCUGGGAAUGGCAUUGGAAACUGGCGACCUAGAGUGCGGUAGAGGGUAGUGGAAUUCCCGGUGUAGCAGUGAAAUGCGUAGAGAUCGGGAGGAACAUCCGUGGCGAAGGCGACUACCUGGACCAGCACUGACACUGAGGCACGAAAGCGUGGGGAGCAAACAGG